CAGGCCUAACACAUGCAAGUCGAACGGUGGUAGCAAUACCAUAGUGGCGCACGGGUGCGUAACACGUAACUAACCUACCUAUACCUGGGGGAUAGCCCGCCGAAAGGCGGAUUAAUACCGCAUAAGGCUUGAGAGCGGCAUCGCUUUUUAGUUAAAGAUUUAUUGGGUAUAGAUGGGGUUGCGGGUCAUUAGCUAGUUGGUCAGGUAACGGCUUACCAAGGCGACGAUGACUAGGGGAGCUGAGAGGCUGGUCCCCCACACGGGCACUGAGAUACGGGCCCGACUCCUACGGGAGGCAGCAGUAGGGAAUAUUGGGCAAUGGACGAGAGUCUGACCCAGCCAUGCCGCGUGCAGGAAGAAGGCUUUCUGAGUCGUAAACUGCUUUUGAUAGGGAAGAAUAAGGUGUACGUGUACACCGAUGACGGUACCUACAGAAUAAGCACCGGCUAACUCCGUGCCAGCAGCCGCGGUAAU
rnacentral:rRNA from 1 species